GACGAAGGGGGCUAGCGUUGUUCGGAAUUACUGGGCGUAAAGCGUGCGUAGACGGUUAUUUAAGUCGGGUGUGAAAGCCCCGGGCUCAACCUGGGAAUUGCAUUCGAGACUGAAUAGCUAGGGUACGGUAGAGGGAAGUGGAAUUUCCGGUGUAGCGGUGAAAUGCGUAGAUAUCGGAAGGAACAUCAGUGGCGAAAGCGACUUCCUGGACCAGUACCGACGUUCAGGCACGAAAGCGUGGGGAGCAAACAGG
rnacentral:rRNA from 1 species